rnacentral:rRNA from 1 species
GAUGAACGCUGGCGGCGUGCCUAAUACAUGCAAGUCGAGCGAACGGACCAGAAGCUUGCUUCUCUGAUGUUAUCGGCGGACGGGUGAGUAACACGUGGAUAACCUACCUAUAAGACUGGGAUAACUUCGGGAAACCGGAGCUACUACCCGAUAAUAUUUUGAACCGCAUGGUUCAAAAGUGAGAGACGGUCUUGCUGUCACUUAUAGCUGACUCCGCGCUGCAUUCGCUAGUUGGUAAGGUGACGGCUUACCAAGGCAACGAUGCAUACCCGACCUCAAAGGGACAUUGCAUAGACGGGCAGUGAGACAGGGUCCAGACUCCGACGGGAGGACGCAGUAGGGAAUCCUCCGCGAUGGGGGAAAGCCUGACGGAGCAACGCGGCGUGAGUGAUGAAGGAGUUAGGAUCGGAAAACUAUGUUAGUAGGGAAGAACAUAUGCGUAAGUAACCGUGAACAUCAUGACGGUACCGAAACAGAAAGCCACGGCUAACUACGUG